rnacentral:lncRNA from 1 species
GGCCGCGCCGGCGCCAUCUUGGGUCGCCUCAGCGCCCGCGGCGGGGCGGGCGGCGGAGCCCUGGCAGAGGGGCUGGGGCGGAGGGCGGAGGUUCCGAGGAGAUCCCGGAGCGGAGGGCAGCGGGGCUGUGGCGGAGGGCGGUGGUUCCGAGGAGAUCCCGGAGCGGAGGGCAGCGGGGCUGGGGCGGAGGGCGCUCGUUCNNNNNNNNNNGGGGCGGAGGGCGCUCGUUCCGAGGGGAUCCCGGAGCGGAGGGCGCUCGUUCCGAGGGGAUCCCGGAGCGGAGGGCGCUCGUUCCGAGCCCCCCGGUCGCGGCGGGAGCCGCUUUUUGGCCGCCAGGCGCCGCAGCCCGUCCCGCGGCACCGCCGGGCAGCCCUGGCCGCCCCGCGGGACGCUCGUGUUGCCGCCUGCGUUUAGGAGGAAAACAAAAGUCAGUGGGUUUACAAGUGUGGGCUGCGGAACGUGUGUAGGCAUCAUGUGCAGUGCAUCCUUUUGCCGUUCGCAUGGUGGAGCUGUGCACACCCUGCUCUACCCCCACACUGAUUUCCGAGCAGUCAGCACCUGACGGGAGCAGAGCUGUCGUGUCUCCUUAUCAUCUGUGAAACUCGGCACUGCUUUCGUUUCCUGCAAAGCUCAUAUGUUUUGCACCUAGAGUCGGUGGUCAUGCCUCUAGAACGGUGAUAAGAUACAGCUGUCCCCCAUCUGAACCCAGGAUUUAAGCACUCUCAUCACCUCACACCUCUCAUGUCUACACUGAAGCUGGAAGUGGGAGGGCUGAACUUGUGUUGGUGUAGCUGGUUCGCCGUGAAGAAGUGCAAACCUGUGAUUAUUCAAGCUUUUAUAUGGGCAAGUUACACUUGAAUGAAUCGUGAGAGGCCGAGGUAAAGCUGUACAGAAGUACUUGCCACCAUGACCCUACUGACACAUAAUCCAUACUAUAAAGAUGAGAAUUAGAUCCUUAUGAAACUGCUCUGAAAAUCUACCAUAAAUCAAAAAUUAUGCCUCUGCAGACAGUUUGUUUCUGUGACUGGAUCAGUCUUUAGUCUGCUGAAUUUCUAAAAUGGGUAUCAACAUAAAAUGACUUAAGAUUGACACUAAUUUUUCCAUCUCUUCUUUUGAAAAUAACUACUAUCUCUGUAAAAGAGCUUCCAUAUUAAAUGUAAAUAAAUUAAGGUAAAUAAAGUCA